rnacentral:misc_RNA from 1 species
GUGCUGGUGCUGGUGCUGGUGCUUCUGACUUUGAAAGAGUGAGACUUUGAAUCUUCGAAGCAAUGGCAUGUGUUGUAUCUGUUACUGUGGCAUACGCGGGUGCCAGCUUCUCUGCCACAGUUUCAGUUGUUGCAUUGGGAACCUUAGCAGGACUCGGAGACUUUUGAUCAGAGUUAUUGCUAUUGUUAACACUGCUUGUUAAAACAUGCUUCUCAGGUGUCACAUGAAUCACUCUUGGAUGCUGUCUAGCUGUCUCCUUGUACCCCAAAGGUGCCAUCUCUGAUUCAUACAUUGGGGCUCCAAGAUAUUCAGGAUCUUCAUCUUCAUCAUCUUCAUCCACUGACAAUAUGACUCUCCCCAUGAGCAUUCACCAUUUUCUACUCUUUUCAUCACAAGACCUAUCUUUCAUGUACAUAUCUCUUAUUCCUGAAAAAAAUUCAAUUCAGCCUCCAUGUAUCUCAUGUGCCAAACAGACCUUAAACAGAAUAUAAACUACUGCAUCGAGCACUACAAAUGAGAUAUCAAACCUACGAAACAAACAUAU